UAUGUGUGUCUCUGUGUGUGUGUGAGAGAGAGAGGUGGUGUGUUUGUAUUAGUGUAAAUAUGCAGAUACCAUCAACCUCACUUUCUGAAACUGGUAACAGGAACGUCCACUUCACUUAGGGAGGUGGAAUGGCAAAAGCAAACCAUUCUUUUUCAUGUCAUUGAUCUUCUCUUUCAAUUCUCCUGCCAUUUUUUCUUGGCAUUUGGUGGCAAAUUCUGCUAGUUUCCCUGGCCUGAAGGGGACUGACUGAAAUUGCUGUUGGUCAGCAAUAUACAGCUCAGCUAUUGGAGCCAGCUGGGCCACUGCAUUUCGGGACACUUUUUCCUUUUGGAAGGCUCUUGUCAUGGAGGGGUGGCUUUGGAGGUUACACGGGGGACUAUGCAUGUACUGUGGCAUUGCUGGUCACGUUUUACAAGACUGUCAGGCAUGUCCACAUAGAUCUCUGGCGCUGACCCCUGGAAGGUGUGUGGAGUACACUCUAAUGUGGUGAGUGUUCCCACAAAGGGCUUGGUUACAAAGUCAUUUCAGUUACCUGUGACAUUGUGCUGCCUCAAUUCUGUCUAUGUAUUUUCAGCCAUUUUGGAGCAGAGAGAAAUUUCAUCAAUAAGCCGCUUGUGGAUCAACUCCAGAUUCCUGUGGAACCUUAUUAAGCAUCUCUUCAUUUGUCAGCUGUGGAUGGAGAUCCAGUUGGAGAAUGGAUUACUGACACAUUCACCAAACCUGUCACCAUGGGGAGAAUAUUUAAGCUUUUAAUAGCUUUUUUGUUUUAUACUUUUCUGCCUACUCAGUUAUUCUAGGACUUCCCUGGCUACAUAAGCAUAACCCCGAUAUCUCUUGGUCAGAUCAUGAAAUACUCAGUUGGUCCCCCUUAUCAUGUGUCAUAUUUGGUUAUGUCAUAACCAAAGUCUUGAGUUCUCCAGUUUGGUUUUAACCUCUACAUUCAUUCAGAGUCCUAAUUCAGACUUUCCUGUCUUCAUUCCCCCUGAAUAUGAUAAGCUUACAGAGGUUUUUACUAAGAGCAAAGCCACAGAACUCCCACCUCAUUAUGAAUAUGAUUGCUCUAUUGAACUAAUUGAGUAUACCCUCUCAUUCAAGAGGAAGGAAAGGCAAUGGAGGAGUAUAUUCAGGAAGCUCUAACAUAGGGGUUCAUUAAUCCUUCUACCUCACCCACAGCUGCUGGUUUCUUGUGUUUCUCUAGUGGUUCAUUACUAGGGGGUACUACAAAUACUUAGUCAAGCCGUUCGGCCUUUUGAAUGCUCCUUCCAUCUUUAACACCCAUUCCACCCAUUCCUAGUUCUUAGUGAUCACAAAAAUCUGGAAUAUCCUCAUUCAGCUAAGAGGCUUAAUCUUUGUCAGGCACGUUGGGUCUUGUUUUUCGAUCACUUUCAGUUUUCCGUUACUUACAGACCUGGUACAUGUAAUACAAAAGCAGAUGCUUUGUCAAGAGUGUUUAGUGAGAAAAAUCUUGUCAAGGACACAUCAGAGAAGAUCUCGCCACCUGAGAUCAUCACAGCACCCAUUUGUUGGGAAGUUGAUGAGGAAAUUGAUAAAGCUUUAGAAACCGUAGCUAUUCCAGAGCAGUGUCCUUCCAACAAGAAAUGUAUACCUAGCCAGUUUCGUGAUCGCAUUAUCACUUGGGCUCACUCAUCUCUUUCCUCCGUUCAUAGGUUUUAGCAUCAUGCUCCACUUGUUCUCAGUGGAAGGUCCCCAAGUCUCUUCCUGCAGAUGUUCCAGCAGUAGACAAUUGGAAUAGACAUAGCGAAGAAGUCUAGGAGCAAACUCAUCAAUGGAUUGAAUGUGUCCUUCAUUACCAGAAAUGGCAGGCUAAUCGUCACGAGGGGGACACCCCUCUACUCUCCAUCAGAUCGGGUUAGCCUGUCGAAGAGGAAUUCAGGUUUUUGGAGGGGAGUUAGAAACUUUUGCCAGUUGUUCCUGGUCUGCUGGACAAGGUAUCACCUGACAUCAGGCUGCCCCCUUUGGUUGAGGUCAAAGGCUCCCUAAUCUAUGCUGUGUGCAGGUUGCUGACACAAGGAGAAGAGGGGGGAUUCUCCAGUACCUGGUGAACUGGUAAGGCUACGGACUCGAGGAGAGAAGCUGGGUUCCUGCUAAUGAUGUACUGGAUCUGGGGUUGGUGGAGGAGUUCCACCAACACCAUCCGGACCAUCCAGCACCACAUCCCAGAGGUUGUCCAGUCUGUCCUUCUAUUGGUCAUUGUAGAGGUCAUUCCUAGAGUGGAUCUUCGGUGCAGCACAGCAACAGCUCCAGGGGUUUGGCCCGAGAUGCUUCCUGAUGCGUGGGUGGUCAUUGCUGAGGUCGUCGUUGUUCCUCAGCCAUCCCGGACUCCUUGGAGGGUGUACUGUCACACUCCCCAGUUGGACUUUAAUUAUAUUACGAACUCAAAUUCCCAAGAUCCCUGGGUUUGCAUGUCACUCCACCAGCCAAUCAUUCAUUAACCAGCAGAUCCAAGUCACCCAAAUACGGAUUGUUUUCACCUGUUUGCCUGUGUAUAUGUGCCUGUUUGUUUCACUCUCUUUGCGAACCAUUGCCCCCUGUUUUAUCAGCAUACCGAGCCGUUUUCUUGUUUGCUGCAUUUCCUGAUGACCUUGUUUUGAUUCUCAUUGUUGAUUCUCAGAUUUACCCCUUUGGCUAAGAUUACCUGUUUAUUGGUUCUUUGAUUUCGACCCUCGCUUGUUUAUCUACUUCGGUUUUUGCCUUAUCGUGUUUUGCUGUUCUGGUUUUUGACCUGGUCUGGUGUACAUCCUAUUCUUUUGGAAGAUCCUCCUUUUAAUAAACGUUAUGGUUUAUUUUAUAUCCAAGAGUGUGACAAUGAUGGACAACACACAUGAUAAUGAUGAUGGACUCAGGACAACACACAUGAUGAUGGACUCAGGACAACACGUGAUAAUG